rnacentral:lncRNA from 1 species
AUGAAAACCUCAAAUAAUUAGUGCUUUUAAAAGCAUGGUGUCUUGUCUAUUAUUGCAUGCAAUGUUGAAUCAUUAGAGUCUGUGAUUUCCUCAUGAAGCUCUUCACAGUGCACUGAACACAUGCAGUACAGCUUGUGACUGAGCAGAAGUGGCUUUGAAUGUCUCUAAAUGUCUAGAUACAUUUACAGGUUGGAUUCCAGCAGGAUGGCUGAUGGCAGCGGUUGACGACUAGUGGCUUUUCAACUAAGGAUUUGAAGCCAACUUAGACGUGGUCUCCAGCCCAUGAAUCAACACGACGGUUGCCAUGAUGCCAGAAUGAUGUGCCAAUGAUGAGCAUAUUCCUUUGAAUCUGUCCCUGUAAGUUGGUGCAAUGGCAGAAGAGUUGUGGUGCCCGGUUUGCAGCACAAUGGUGAACUAAAGCUCCUCUGUAGUUAUUGUAACUUAUACACUUGUGUUUCUAUGUCAUUCCAAGGACAGUUUGAGAAAGUAACUGCUUGUUUUUGACUUCUCAGUUCUGUGUGUAUGCUGCUUUUUCUAAAAAUGUACAGUUUUCUUUUACAUUUAAUAAAAAUCACUAUUACAGCUCA